rnacentral:lncRNA from 1 species
AAAAAAAACAAAAAACCAUGACUUUGUAAAUGACUUUCUGGUGAUUGUAAUCAGUAUUCUCUUGCUUUGCAGUUGUUUCAAUAACUAAUACACAGCUGUAUUGAUUGCGAAGUUUAAGCAGGCAUAAUUGCCUUCUAGGUUAAUGAAUUGUACCCACAGUGAGUUUGUGAGUGUGUGGUAGGUGUUUGGAAUGAGUCUGAGUCAGCGGGCAGCUCACAGUCAAGCUGGUAAUUUAUUGCACAAAACCAGAGUGCAGUUGGUGACACAACUUGCUGGCCAGUACAGUACAAGUCAUGUAUGCUGAUGGUUCUGAAGAAGAGACAAGACAGCAAAGAAGCUGUCUGUGAUUCUCUAAGGUGGCAUCUAUCUCUGGCUGCACAGGAACAGAAUUACGUUUUUGUAUGCUGGUGGUGGUGGAAAGACCCACAUACUGUUCCAAAUACGAAUGCUUUGUCAUUUAUGAGGCAAUAUUUUUUGAUGCAUUUUAUUAUUUCUGGUAUUAUUCAAGCAUCUAGUCUUCCAGCGUAUAAAUUUCUGCAGGGACGUUUUUCUUUAUCACAGUAAUUAGUCAAGGAAUAGUAAAGCCUCAAGGGGAGAAAGACCUUGGAACAGUGCAUUGGGACCACUGCCAAGUGAAGAAUUUGGAAGAAAGGAGGGAAAGACAGGCAGUCACUUUAUAGCACAUGGUACAGGCCCUGGAGAGAGAAGGCGAAAGCGAUACCAUUUACUUACAAAGUGUAUCUAGGAGAUCAAAACUAUG